AGAAUCUCACACUCAGCCUGCCUCCCACACGUUCCUCUUCCCGCCCAGUCCUAUCAGCUAACUUUUGCCUCUCAGGAUUCAGAUUCAUCUUCUACAGGUUUUUCAACAAGGAAAUGCAUGACCUUUCCAGCCUCUUCAGUCUUCUUCUCGACCUAUGAACAAGUUUUGCAUUUUCUGUCUGAAAGGAGGAUGAAGAGUUUGGCAGAGAAGAAUGUGAAGCGGUGCAAAGCAGGGCUUCUGACAACUGACUUAGCAGUUCUCUUCACUUGCUUGCUAAGGACACGAGUACCUCAACGCCCAAAUCCAGAAAGAGAAGCAGGAAGCGAUGGCGGCCUGCGAAGGACACACCCCUGGACGCCGAGUCCUGGGUUCUUGGGUUCUCAGCCUUCCCGCUGCACAGCAGGGACCUCAGAAUCGUCCCCCUGUGAAUUCUCUCACCCAUAUUCUCAUCCUUCCCACUGUUUUCCCUGCUUCUCCCACUCACCCUAUUCUGGGAAAAUUCCAGAGAUAAACGUGGGAAACCACAGGCUGCACUUCCUUCGGUGCUUCUGCAUUUCCCAGCGCCCAGGAUCUGCCCGCUGGAUUACAGCAGCUCCUGAAGACCGUUUCUGAUCUGCCUUGGGUGGAACUGGGUGUCCACACGUGUGGGGUCACCACCACAAUCAACAUUUCCACCACCCAAGUGUCACAGUGAUAUCAUGGCCACAUGGCCGUCACCACUGCAACCAUGGACGUGCUUUAGACCUGCAUGGGUCAGACUGGCUUUCAAGAAUUGCAUCUGAAUGGAAUCAGUCACGUUGAGUCUCACUUCUAGGUUUGGAUAAUUUUUUUGAGAUUCAUCCAUGUUGUUAAUGUAUUAGUAGAGUAGCUUUCCCUUGUAUGGAGACCACAGUUUUUAUCCAUUCACUAUUAAUAAACAUUUGAGGUAUUUUCCCCCUAGGUUUUGG
rnacentral:lncRNA from 1 species